rnacentral:rRNA from 1 species
GAUGAACGCUAGCGGCAGGCUUAACACAUGCAAGUCGAGGGGUAGAGGAAGCUUGCUUCCUUGAGACCGGCGCACGGGUGCGUAACGCGUAUACAAUCUACCUUUUACAGAGGGAUAGCCCCAGAGAAAUUUGGAUUAAUACCUCAUAGUAUUUUCGGAUCGCAUGAUUUGAUUAUUAAAGUUCCAACGGUAAAAGAUGAGUAUGCGUCCCAUUAGCUAGAUGGUAAGGUAACGGCUUACCAUGGCAAUGAUGGGUAGGGGUCCUGAGAGGGAGAUCCCCCACACUGGUACUGAGACACGGACCAGACUCCUACGGGAGGCAGCAGUGAGGAAUAUUGGUCAAUGGGCGCAAGCCUGAACCAGCCAUGCCGCGUGCAGGAAGACGGUCCUAUGGAUUGUAAACUGCUUUUAUACAGGAAGAAACCCUCCCACGUGUGGGAGCUUGACGGUACUGUAGGAAUAAGGAUCGGCUAACUCCGUGCCAGCAGCCGCGGU